CUAUACCACAUUGAAACACUGGUUUUUGUACGAUAACUGAAGUUAAGCAAUGUUGUGCCUGGACAGUACCUAGAUGGCUGACCACUUGCGAAUAACAGGUGCUGUAA